GACGAACGCUGGCGGCGUGCUUAACACAUGCAAGUCGAACGGAAAGGCUCCAGCUUGCUGGAGUACUCGAGUGGCGAACGGGUGAGUAACACGUGGGUAAUCUGCCCUGCACUCUGGGAUAAGCCUGGGAAACUGGGUCUAAUACUGGAUAUGACCUUUCUCCUUAUGGGGUUUGGUGGAUAGUUUUUCGGUGUAGGAUGAGCCCGCGGCCUAUCAGCUUGUUGGUGGGGUGAUGGCCUACCAAGGCGACGGCGGGUAGCCGGCCUGAGAGGGUGAGCGGCCACAUUGGGACUGGGAUACGGCCCAGACUCCUACGGGAGGCAGCAGUGGGGAAUAUUGCACAAUGGGCGGAAGCCUGAUGCAGCGACGCCGCGUGAGGGAUGACGGCCUUCGGGUUGUAAACCUCUUUCAGCAGGGACGAAGCGUAAGUGACGGUACCUGCAGAAGAAGCACCGGCUAACUACGUGCCAGCCGCCGCCGUAA
rnacentral:rRNA from 1 species